AUUGAACGCUGGCGGCAUGCUUUACACAUGCAAGUCGAACGGUAACGCGGGGCAACCUGGCGACGAGCGGCGAACGGGUCAGGAAUGCAUCGGCACGUGCCGGGGAGUGGGGGAUAACAACGCGAAAGAGGAGCUAAUACCGGAUACGACCUGAGGAGGAAAGGGGGGGAAGGCAAGCCCGACCGCUAGAGGAGGGGCUGAUGUCGGAUUAGCUAGUUGGUGGGGUAAGGGCCCACCAAGGCGACGAUCCGUAGCUGGUCUGAGAGGACGACCAGCCACACUGGGACUGAGACACGGCCCAGACUCCUACGGGAGGCAGCAGUAGGGAAUUUCGGACAAUGGACGCAAGUCUGAUCCAGCCAUGCCGCGUGCGGGAAGAAGGCCUUCGGGUUGUAAACCGCUUUUGUCAGAGAAGAAAUCUUCUGGGUUAAUACCUCGGGAGGAUGACGGUAUCUGAAGAAUAAGCACCGGCUAACUACGUGCCAGCCGCCGCGGUAAUAC
rnacentral:rRNA from 1 species